GGCGGAAAAAUUACGGGUUUACG
rnacentral:siRNA from 1 species